AGUGAACGCUGGCGGUAGGCCUAACACAUGCAAGUCGAACGGCAGCACAGUAAGAGCUUGCUCUUACGGGUGGCGAGUGGCGGACGGGUGAGGAAUACAUCGGAAUCUACUUUUUCGUGGGGGAUAACGUAGGGAAACUUACGCUAAUACCGCAUACGACCUACGGGUGAAAGCAGGGGAUCUUCGGGCCUUGCGCGAUUGAAUGAGCCGAUGUCGGAUUAGCUAGUUGGCGGGGUAAAGGCCCACCAAGGCGACGAUCCGUAGCUGGUCUGAGAGGAUGAUAAGCCACACUGGAACUGAGACACGGUCCAGACUCCUACGGGAGGCAGCAGUGGGGAAUAUGGGACAAUGGGCGCAAGCCUGAUCCAGCCAUACCGCGUGGGUGAAGAAGGCCUUCGGGUUGUAAAGCCCUUUUGUUGGGAGAGAAAAGCAGCAGGUUAAUACCCCGCUGUUCUGACGGUACCCAAAGAAUAAGCACCGGCUAACUUCGUG
rnacentral:rRNA from 1 species